rnacentral:rRNA from 1 species
UUAAGCGACUAAGCGUACACGGUGGAUGCCCUGGCAGUCAGAGGCGAUGAAGGACGUGCUAAUCUGCGAUAAGCGUCGGUAAGGUGAUAUGAACCGUUAUAACCGGCGAUUUCCGAAUGGGGAAACCCAGUGUGAUUUGUCACACUAUCAUUAACUGAAUCCAUAGGUUAAUGAGGCGAACCGGGGGAACUGAAACAUCUAAGUACCCCGAGGAAAAGAAAUCAACCGAGAUUCCCCCAGUAGCGGCGAGCGAACGGGGAGGAGCCCAGAGCCUGAAUCAGUGUGUGUGUUAGUGGAAGCGUCUGGAAAGGCGCGCGAUACAGGGUGACAGCCCCGUACACAAAAAUGCACAUGCUGUGAGCUCGAUGAGUAGGGCGGGACACGUGGUAUCCUGUCUGAAUAUGGGGGGACCAUCCUCCAAGGCUAAAUACUCCUGACUGACCGAUAGUGAACCAGUACCGUGAGGGAAAGGCGAAAAGAACCCCGGCGAGGGGAGUGAAAAAGAACCUGAAACCGUGUACGUACAAGCAGUGGGAGCACGCUUCGGCGUGUGACUGCGUACCUUUUGUAUAAUGGGUCAGCGACUUAUAUUCUGUAGCAAGGUUAACCGAAUAGGGGAGCCGAAGGGAAACCGAGUCUUAACUGGGCGUUAAGUUGCAGGGUAUAGACCCGAAACCCGGUGAUCUAGCCAUGGGCAGGUUGAAGGUUGGGUAACACUAACUGGAGGACCGAACCGACUAAUGUUGAAAAAUUAGCGGAUGACUUGUGGCUGGGGGUGAAAGGCCAAUCAAACCGGGAGAUAGCUGGUUCUCCCCGAAAGCUAUUUAGGUAGCGCCUCGUGAAUUCAUCUCCGGGGGUAGAGCACUGUUUCGGCAAGGGGGUCAUCCCGACUUACCAACCCGAUGCAAACUGCGAAUACCGGAGAAUGUUAUCACGGGAGACACACGGCGGGUGCUAACGUCCGUCGUGAAGAGGGAAACAACCCAGACCGCCAGCUAAGGUCCCAAAGUCAUGGUUAAGUGGGAAACGAUGUGGGAAGGCCCAGACAGCCAGGAUGUUGGCUUAGAAGCAGCCAUCAUUUAAAGAAAGCGUAAUAGCUCACUGGUCGAGUCGGCCUGCGCGGAAGAUGUAACGGGGCUAAACCAUGCACCGAAGCUGCGGCAGCGACACUAUGUGUUGUUGGGUAGGGGAGCGUUCUGUAAGCCUGUGAAGGUGGCCUGUGAGGGUUGCUGGAGGUAUCAGAAGUGCGAAUGCUGACAUAAGUAACGAUAAAGCGGGUGAAAAGCCCGCUCGCCGGAAGACCAAGGGUUCCUGUCCAACGUUAAUCGGGGCAGGGUGAGUCGACCCCUAAGGCGAGGCCGAAAGGCGUAGUCGAUGGGAAACAGGUUAAUAUUCCUGUACUUGGUGUUACUGCGAAGGGGGGACGGAGAAGGCUAUGUUGGCCGGGCGACGGUUGUCCCGGUUUAAGCGUGUAGGCUGGUUUUCCAGGCAAAUCCGGAAAACUAAGGCUGAGGCGUGAUGACGAGGCACUACGGUGCUGAAGCAACAAAUGCCCUGCUUCCAGGAAAAGCCUCUAAGCAUCAGGUAACAUCAAAUCGUACCCCAAACCGACACAGGUGGUCAGGUAGAGAAUACCAAGGCGCUUGAGAGAACUCGGGUGAAGGAACUAGGCAAAAUGGUGCCGUAACUUCGGGAGAAGGCACGCUGAUAUGUAGGUGAAGCGACUUGCUCGUGGAGCUGAAAUCAGUCGAAGAUACCAGCUGGCUGCAACUGUUUAUUAAAAACACAGCACUGUGCAAACACGAAAGUGGACGUAUACGGUGUGACGCCUGCCCGGUGCCGGAAGGUUAAUUGAUGGGGUUAGCGGUAACGCGAAGCUCUUGAUCGAAGCCCCGGUAAACGGCGGCCGUAACUAUAACGGUCCUAAGGUAGCGAAAUUCCUUGUCGGGUAAGUUCCGACCUGCACGAAUGGCGUAAUGAUGGCCAGGCUGUCUCCACCCGAGACUCAGUGAAAUUGAACUCGCUGUGAAGAUGCAGUGUACCCGCGGCAAGACGGAAAGACCCCGUGAACCUUUACUAUAGCUUGACACUGAACAUUGAGCCUUGAUGUGUAGGAUAGGUGGGAGGCUUUGAAGUGUGGACGCCAGUCUGCAUGGAGCCGACCUUGAAAUACCACCCUUUAAUGUUUGAUGUUCUAACGUUGACCCGUGAUCCGGGUUGCGGACAGUGUCUGGUGGGUAGUUUGACUGGGGCGGUCUCCUCCUAAAGAGUAACGGAGGAGCACGAAGGUUGGCUAAUCCUGGUCGGACAUCAGGAGGUUAGUGCAAUGGCAUAAGCCAGCUUGACUGCGAGCGUGACGGCGCGAGCAGGUGCGAAAGCAGGUCAUAGUGAUCCGGUGGUUCUGAAUGGAAGGGCCAUCGCUCAACGGAUAAAAGGUACUCCGGGGAUAACAGGCUGAUACCGCCCAAGAGUUCAUAUCGACGGCGGUGUUUGGCACCUCGAUGUCGGCUCAUCACAUCCUGGGGCUGAAGUAGGUCCCAAGGGUAUGGCUGUUCGCCAUUUAAAGUGGUACGCGAGCUGGGUUUAGAACGUCGUGAGACAGUUCGGUCCCUAUCUGCCGUGGGCGCUGGAGAACUGAGGGGGGCUGCUCCUAGUACGAGAGGACCGGAGUGGACGCAUCACUGGUGUUCGGGUUGUCAUGCCAAUGGCACUGCCCGGUAGCUAAAUGCGGAAGAGAUAAGUGCUGAAAGCAUCUAAGCACGAAACUUGCCCCGAGAUGAGUUCUCCCUGACUCCCUGAGAGUCCUGAAGGAACGUUGAAGACGACGACGUUGAUAGGCCGGGUGUGUAAGCGCAGCGAUGCGUUGAGCUAACCGGUACUAAUGAACCGUGAGGCUUAACCU